rnacentral:lncRNA from 1 species
CGCGCAUCUCAAGACCCGGAUCAUAGCGCAGCUCCAGGAGCAGGGGGCCUAGUGGCCCGGCCCGCGGAGUGCCUGAGAGGAGAGGCUGCCAGUAUGGAUUCGAAGGCCAGACAAGGGAGGAGGCCUCGGCCUGAGCUUCGUGGUACAACUCAGCUGUCGUCGCCUUGGGUACCCCGAAGCCAACUCCCAGGCCCAAGUCUCAGUCGCCCUCUUCGGAGUCUGAGAGCUAAGCUCCAGGCGAGGCACGUGAGCGGCGCUGGACACCCGGCUGCCGGGCUGGUCCCCGCCCUGUGGCGGCAGGAUAAAGCCGCCCUGGCAGCGCGUUGCGCCUCCUGCCCGACCGCAGGUGUGAGCGCUCCCUGCCUCCCAGGCCCCGCGCUUCCCGCACAGGGCAGAUGGCGCAGGCCUUGGAUCCUGGUUCGGAGGCGGCCUAGGCCCUGCUGCCGAUUCUCCAGUGCCCUUCUUGCUUCAGACACCUCCUGUCUCCUUCUUCGCUUCCUGGGGUCUUGGCUUUGGUUUUCGGACCCAAACUCUUCACCCGCGCGCUCUGAGGAGGGGUGCCAGCUUUCCCUUGGAGGGGACUCUAAAAACUCUCGGAGACUACCUCCUUCAGCUGCCCGAAGCCAGCGCACUAGUGUGUGUCCCCACCGCGCCCCCAUGGACAAUUCACACUGAGGGACCCGAAGGCUCAGUCUCAUCGCCUGCACGCGUGUUCCGCGACCUUA